UACAGAGGUCCCGAGCGUUGUUCGGAUUCAUUGGGCGUAAAGGGUGCGUAGGCGGCGGGGCAAGUUUGAUGUGAAAUCCCGGGGCUCAACCCUGGAAUUGCAUUGAAUACUACCUUGCUAGAGUACCGGAGAGGAAACUGGAAUUUACGGUGUAGCAGUGAAAUGCGUAGAGAUCGUAAGGAAGACCAGUGGCGAAGGCGAGUUUCUGGACGGUAACUGACGCUGAGGCACGAAGGCCAGGGGAGCAAACGGG
rnacentral:rRNA from 1 species